rnacentral:rRNA from 2 species
UACAGAGGUCUCAAGCGUUGUUCGGAUUCAUUGGGCGUAAAGGGUGCGUAGGUGGUUUGGUAAGUUGAAGGUGAAAUCUCGGAGCUUAACUCCGAAACUGCCUUCAAUACUGCCGGACUUGAGGACUGUAGAGGAGAAUGGAAUUCACGGUGUAGCAGUGAAAUGCGUAGAUAUCGUGAGGAAGACCAGUGGCGAAGGCGAUUCUCUGGGCAGUUCCUGACACUGAGGCACGAAGGCUAGGGGAGCAAACGGG